rnacentral:rRNA from 1 species
UUAAGCAUAUCAAUAAGCGGAGGAAAAGAAACCAACCGGGAUUGCCUCAGUAACGGCGAGUGAAGCGGCAAGAGCUCAAAUUUGAAAUCUGGCCCCCUCGGGGUCCGAGUUGUAAUUUGCAGAGGAUGCUUCGGGUGCGGUCCCCAUCUAAGUGCCCUGGAACGGGCCGUCAUAGAGGGUGAGAAUCCCGUCUGGGAUGGGCGGCCGCGCCCGUGUGAAGCUCCUUCGACGAGUCGAGUUGUUUGGGAAUGCAGCUCUAAGCGGGUGGUAAAUUUCAUCUAAAGCUAAAUACUGGCCGGAGACCGAUAGCGCACAAGUAGAGUGAUCGAAAGAUGAAAAGCACUUUGAAAAGAGAGUUAAACAGCACGUGAAAUUGUUGAAAGGGAAGCGUUGUCCACCAGACUCGCCCGGGGGGGUUCAGCCGGCACGUGUGCCGGUGUACUCCUCUCCGGGCGGGCCAGCAUCGGUUUGGGCGGCUGGUGAAAGGCCCCGGGAAUGUACCACCCUCCGGGGUGUCUUAUAGCCCGGGGUGCCAUACAGCCAGCCUGGACCGAGGCCCGCGCUCGGCGAGGAUGCGGC